UGCAUCGGCAGGGAAUCGAACCCUGGCCGCCCGCUCGGCAGGCGAGCAUUGUACCACUGAACCACCGAUGC
rnacentral:tRNA from 1 species